GUGACCUGCGGAGGAUCAUUAA
rnacentral:rRNA from 1 species